GGAAUAUUGGACAAUGGGCGAAAGCCUGAUCCAGCCAUGCCGCGUGUGUGAAGAAGGUCUUCGGAUUGUAAAGCACUUUAAGUUGGGAGGAAGGGCAGUAAGUUAAUACCUUGCUGUUUUGACGUUACCGACAGAAUAAGCACCGGCUAACUUCGUGCCAGCAGCCGCGGUAAUAC
rnacentral:rRNA from 1 species